CAGAGAAUAGUUUAAGGAAAAUAUUAAUUUUGGGUAUUAAAGAUAGAUAUUUAAGAUCUUUCUCUGA
rnacentral:tRNA from 1 species